UUAAAUUGAUUUUAACUUUGUUCUAUAUUCUUAGUACUCGGGUUGAUAAAGACCUUUUCUUCAGGGAGCCUUUGUCAUCGGGGGUAUUAUGAAAUAUAGUUUAAAGAAACUGCAAUGAUUAU
rnacentral:precursor_RNA from 15 species